rnacentral:rRNA from 1 species
UGGGCAGUUUGACUGGGGCGGUCGCCUCCCAAAAGGUAACGGAGGCGCUCAAAGGUUCUCUCAGUACGGUCGGAAAUCGUACGUAGAGUGUAAAGGCAAAAGAGAGCUUGAUUGCAAGACAUACAGGUCGAGCAAGGAUGAAAAUCGGACUUAGUGAUCCGGUGGUUCUGCGUGGAAGGGCCAUCGCUCAACGGAUAAAAGCUACCCUGGGGAUAACAGGCUUAUCUCCCCCAAGAGUCCACAUCGACGGGGAGGUUUGGCACCUCGAUGUCGGCUCAUCACAUCCUGGGGCUGUAGUAGGUCCCAAGGGUUGGGCUGUUCGCCCAUUAAAGUGGUACGCGAGCUGGGUUCAGAACGUCGUGAGACAGUUCGGUCCCUAUC